rnacentral:rRNA from 1 species
AACAAACGCUGGCGGCGUGCCUAACACAUGCAAGUCGUACGAGAAAGGGUCCUUCGGGGCCUGAGUAAAGUGGCGCACGGGUGAGUAACGCGUGGAUAAUCUGCCCUUCAGUUGGGAAUAACUCAUCGAAAGGUGGGCUAAUACCGAAUAAUGCUGUGAGACCUCGGUUGAUCAGCCAAAGGGAGCCUCUGCUUGCAAGCCCUCGCUGAAGGAUGAGUCCGCGUACCACUAGCUAGUUGGUAGGGUAACGGCCUACCAAGGCGACGAUGGUUAGCUGGUCUGAGAGGAUGAUCAGCCACACUGGAACUGAGACACGGUCCAGACUCCUACGGGAGGCAGCAGUGAGGAAUCUUGCGCAAUGGGGGCAACCCUGACGCAGCAACGCCGCGUGAGUGAGGAAGGUCUUCGGAUCGUAAAGCUCUGUCGGAUGGAAAGAACCGCAUAGGGGUAAACAGCCCCUGUGUCUGACGGUACCAUCAAAGGAAGCACCGGCUAACUCCGUGCCAGCCGCCGCCGUAAGAC